rnacentral:rRNA from 1 species
GAUGAACGCUGGCGGCAUGCUUAACACAUCAGCGACGGAAUGGUGGCGGACGGGUGAGUAAGGCGUAUAGAACUUGCCUCACAGGUAGGGACAACAUUUGGAAACGAAUGCUAAUACCUAAUACUGUGAGAGAGCUUGGCGUCCCAUUAGCUAGUUGGAGAGGUAACGGCUCACCAAGGCGUGGAUUGGUAGCCGGCCUGAGAGGGUGAGCGGCCACAUGCGGCCUGAGACACGGCCCUUACUCGUACGGGAGGCAGCAGUGCGGAAGAUUGGACAAUGGACCAAAGUCUGAUCCAGCAAUUCUGUGUUCACGAUGUAGUUUUCGGAAUGUAAAGUGCUUUCAGUUGGGAAGCGGUACCUACAGAAGAAGCGCCGGCUAAAUACGUGCCAGCAGCCGCGGUAAUAC